AUCCAUCAGUUGCCUCCUGCACACCCCCUGAUGGGGAUGUGCCCGCAAUGGAAGUACAUGCCCUUGACUGGAAUUGAACCUGGGACCAUUCAGUUUGCAGGCCGACACUCUAUCCGCUGAACUAGACCAGUUAGGGCUUGCCCUCCAAUUUGACAUUCAAUCACCUGUUACUUUUGAAGCAUGGUAGCAACCUUGCUUGGGUAAAAAUGGCUGUUAAACAUUUUAACCCUGCUGAUGUGGCUUCUGUAAUUAUUUGCUUGCUAAAAUACUAGGAAAGUUUCGCCAAAACCAUUUUAAUUUUCUGAAUUUAUAUAAGUCAUCCCAUUCGAUUGAACACUCCGUUGACUGUGGUUUGAAUAUCCCAUUGAUUUGGAUCUUUCUGGUCUUUUGAAACACAGGCCUCUGCACCUGGAGACCAGGACAGCACAAUUACUCUGAGCUGCCUCAGUGGCUCCAGAUAAUGUAUUUCCAUUGACUCAGGGGUCCCAAGACCCGAAACUACAAUUAAUCUUUGUAGAUAACUAACCUGUUCAAUCUAAGCUUCUGUAACAAACCGCUUUUUGCAAACCAAGGUCCUCACUCCAAACCUCGAGAUGGCAUCAAUACCUCUGUGAUAUUUGUCUAAGUCAGUCUGAUGUUUCAGCCAGGGGGGCCGGGCACUACGAGAUUUGGAGAGCAUUUGCCCCUCAGAGUCCUGGCUUUGAAAUAAAUGUGGCUCCUUAAUUCGA